rnacentral:rRNA from 1 species
UACGGAGGAUGCAAGCGUUAUCCGGAAUCAUUGGGCGUAAAGCGUCCGUAGGUGGCGUUUCAAGUCUGCUGUCAAAGCACAAGGCUUAACCUUGUAAAGGCAGUGGAAACUGAAAGAGCUAGAGUGCGGUAGGGGUAGAGGGAAUUCCCAGUGUAGCGGUGAAAUGCGUAGAGAUUGGGAAGAACACCGGUGGCGAAAGCGCUCUACUGGGCCUGCACUGACACUGAGGGACGAAAGCUAGGGGAGCGAAUGGG